GGGCCUAUAGCUUAGUCUGGCAACGAGAUUGAUUGCACUUGCAAUUGUCUGUUGGGCAAUUAGAGUGCUGGUCUUAUAAACCAGUGGUCCCGAGUUCAAAUCUCGGUAGGCCCA
rnacentral:tRNA from 1 species